rnacentral:rRNA from 1 species
CGGCUCGUCACCAACAUGAGGGCUCAAGACGACCGAUGGUUUGCGGAAUACCUAUUGAGAGUAGGAAAUGGCACCGAGGAAACUGACGAGGAAGGAAACAUCCGGCUCCCCGAAGAUAUAUGUGUGCCUUCGACAGGCGAGGCCGUAGACAUAGAGAAGUUGAUCGACCACGUGUUUCCUGCCCUAGACCACAAUAUGGUCAAUCCGAGUUACACGACGUCUCGAGCAAUCCUAUCCACCAAGAAUGACAACGUCGAUGUAAUAAACAUGCGUAUGAUAGAGCGUUUCCGGGGCGAGGAGAAGACCUACCACAGUUUUGACAGUGCAGAAGAUGAUCCGCAUGGCUACUACACUCAAGAGUUCCUGAAUGACCUGACUCCAAAUGGGCUUCCCACGCACGCACUUAAACUGAAGAUAAACUCUCCCAUUAUACUGCCGAGGAACAUCGACCCAGCUAAUGGGUUGUGUAACGGCACGAGGCUUGUGGUCCGUGGGUUCCAGAGAAACGCCAUCGACGCCGUGAUCGUGAUGGGACAACACGCCGGACGAAGGGUUUUUCUUCCUCGCAUACCUCUCUGCCCCUCCGACGACGAAAUGUUCCCAUUCCGAUUUAAGAGGAAGCAGUUCCCCGUCAGACUCAGCUUUGCCAUGACAAUCAACAAGGCAGGGCAGACCAUCCCAAUUGUCGGCGUGUACCUACCCGAAUCAGUAUUCUCCCAUGGUCAGCUGUACGUGGUGUUGUCCAGAGCUACCGCAAAGUCCAACAUUAAAAUUCUCGCAUUCAAGGACAAGAGGAAGGAACAGAGCAAAAAUACUAAGAAGCGGAAAAUAUCCGAACCCUUAAUAACGACUAUGCAGAACAUAGUAUAUAAGGAAGUUCUUAAUGCUUGA